rnacentral:piRNA from 1 species
UAAAUUUGCCGGCGAAGAAACAAUGGUAG